GAUGGUGUGGCUCAGUGGUAGAGCACUUGCCUAUCAUGUGUGAGGCCCUAGGUUCAAUCCCCAGCACUGACA
rfam:Heterocephalus glaber contig33870, whole genome shotgun sequence.